rnacentral:rRNA from 1 species
UACGAAGGGGGCUAGCGUUGCUCGGAAUUACUGGGCGUAAAGCGCACGUAGGCGGCUUUCUAAGUCGGGGGUGAAAUCCUGGAGCUCAACUCCAGAACUGCCUUCGAUACUGGAAAGCUCGAGUCCGGGAGAGGUGAGUGGAACUGCGAGUGUAGAGGUGAAAUUCGUAGAUAUUCGCAAGAACACCAGUGGCGAAGGCGGCUCACUGGCCCGGUACUGACGCUGAGGU